GACCGCUUAGCUCAGCCGGCAGAGCGUCGCAUUCACAUUGCGAAGGUCGGUGGUUCGAGCCCACCAGCGGUCACCA
rnacentral:tRNA from 1 species